UCAUAUCCACAACGUAGCAUGUGCUUUUCAACUUGAGCGAAUUGAAACAUACACAAAGAGAUAUCUUAGUGCCAACAUUAGGAUGCAUCAGGAUAAACAAAGUAAGGCCUCCUCCCACAAAACAAGAGUUUUCUCAAGAGAUGGGAAAUACCAACAAGUCACGUUUGAACAUCUCUUGGGACUCUUGGGGCCACCGAUUACAGCCGUGCAACAUGCACACAAGUAUGGGGGAGGGACCACCAUUCAUACAUGAGGUAACCUUACAAUAUGAAAAUGAUCUAGCUACUAUUAUGGAUGAUGCGCAAAAUGAAAGGUAAACAACACUUGCAAUACAGACUAGACAAAAAAGCUGACCUACACAGGGUGUCAUACAGGGGGGGAAGGGGGAUAUCCCCCCCUAGCUCCAAUCCCCCCCCCCCUUCAAGUACUAGCUGUAUAACUGAGUGUCCAUAGCUGGGUAUUGAAAUAACAGUUGACCUUUUUUUAGCAACAUUUUCUGGUUUAUUUUCUCACUUUUCACCCUUCUACUUCAAAAUCCUGUAUGAUACCCUACUUCACGUGAACUAAAGUGUUGGUAAACUAGCUCUCCCAAGUUGAGUUAGCCAGUGUGUGCAGUACAGCGUUAUUUCAGUUUACCGUGUAUGCUUGAUCAGAGGCCGCUCUCAAAUAGUAGCCUCAGUGAACUUUGACUCUAGCAUUUCUGCACGUGGCAGCGAGAAAAAUUAUUAAUACUAGCAGCUAGCUGCAUGUACGUAGCUAAUAGGUACAGGUAGCAACUUGUUAGUGCUUCACAAAGAAUUUCUCAUGGCAGAGUUCAAGUUUAUGCAGAUGAAAAUAAUUUUUGAUGACAAACUAAAGGUAUUAAAUUAGCUGGAGCUCACAGUGGCCUCUCAGGAAUUGUAGCCUCCUCUUCCAGCAAAAUGAAACAUUUAGUAGCUGCGGCUCCUGAUCAAGCAUAUACGGUAUCUAGCUCUCUCAAGUUGAACUAGCCAGUGUUUGCAGUGCAGUAUUACUUCAGUUAUAAUCAAAAUGACGGCUUAGGUAAUACUAUCAACUUGGCUGUACACGUAAGUCCAAAGCAUAAUAAUUACAUAUUUAUAAAAUUGCUAGAGACACUACAAUUUUAGCCUAGCAUACAUACAACACCAUAACUGGCUAUUAUUUACAUAUAACAUUUAAUAGUGAAACCAAAAUAAUAAUACAAGAAAAAAAUGUCCCCAAGCUUUAACGAGUCUACUGUACGUAAGUACCAACUUUGCCUGACCUUGAGAAGUCUGCCUUACAGAAGACCUCGCCAUCACGGGAGUAGCAUUUGUCUGUGAGCAGCAUGUCGCAGUCCACACAGCGAAGACAUUUAGAGUGCCACGGCUUGUCAAGAACUUUAAGGAUGAAUCUGUCGACUAUUGGGUGAUGACAACCAGCACAGCAGGGGAUGUUGCCGCUAUCUGUGUGAGGGGAGGGGGCGGAUUUGUGAGGGUGUGGGAAUAGUGAAGGUGUGUGGAAAGGAACUUCAAUGCGUGUGCAGAUUGUGUGUGUGUGUGUGUGGCUGGGUUUUUUGAAUAGAGACAAUUAUCUGAUCAACAUUUUUAAAGAGAUUGAGUAGGUGGUCCCCACUCAGGAUAAAAGAGAGGUAAGUUUAUCUAUGGCAGACCCCACUCAUCACACAAAUAAUGCUUAACAUUAGUUUGAUGUUUUAACAAGAUGGAAUUGAAAAACAUAGCCAAUUUAGUCAGCAUGCCUAGAAAUACAAAUCUGAUGGGACCCGAAAAUAAGCAUCACUAAAAAAGGCAAAAGAGAGGGCUUUUGAAACUAUACAACCGUGGCCUCAAUUAGUCCAACUAUUCCGCUAGCAUUCACACCUUCAACCUGUUAAUUCCCCACAUUACUCAUCACACCUGGCUAGAGAUAAGCAGCAGCGGGCAGUCAAAGAGACAGAAUAAUGGAAGAGUAAUAUACUAGGUGAGUAGACUCACAUACUACAAACAAACCAACAUACUAUAUUAGAGCUGGAGUAAUGGGGGACAUGGACCUUUACUAGCAGAAUAUGAGAUGAAGCAUGGGUGGUCUCUAUUGGGAACCAUCAAAAACUAUAAAAAAAAAUUCAUGUCAGAACAGAUAUGAAUUUGGUCAUUGGAUCUAGCUAUAGUCACUAGUAUCUGUCAGAUCUAUAAAAACAGGAGAUAUGAAUUUCCGCGUCUUUGAAGAUAUGCAUUGCAAGAAUAGUAAGAUAUAAAUUUGGCUUCAACAGGUGGACACUACUAUGGUAGGGGCAUAUCCAAACACAAAACCAGAAAAAAAUAACAACUGGAUUAGCGUGUUCUUUUGAUGUCUACAAUAUGACCAAUUUAUAAAACCACAAUUUGUAUAACAUUGUAUCUCUUGAGCUUAGACCUACACAUGCAGCCCAUAAAUGUGGGAUGACCCAUGCAGCUAUUACAAUGUAUACCAUUGUGCAAGCUAUUAUUACGCUUUUAGUCUCAGUAAAUAAAAUCAUAGCAGAGCAACACAAACCACUAUAUAGUACGCCCCCACAGAAUUAUAAUAAAUGAAUUUCAAAGAACAGUUGGAUGCAGUCACUAAUCCUGUUUAACUACUUCCUGGCAGCAUAGAUCACCAGACACAAACCUGCCCCAGGCUAGACAGGACCAAUAAAUAAUUUAAUAUCUAGGGUUGCUGCUGGAUGACCAAUUAUGUAAUAGUUAUAGGCUGAGUCCAAGGUCUCCAUGGGGUUUUGAGAAAGAAGGCCUGAGGCUGUAGGAAGGCCUGAGGCUGUAGGAAGGCCUGAGGCUGUAGGAAGGCCUGAGGCUGUAGCAGAGCAUAGGAGGGUGCUACUAAGGGCCUAAAGGUAAAUAAAGAAAUGCAAUCCUACAUACAAUAGCCAGCAGCUAGUCACAUGAUAUUGACACUAUGGAUGGACAUACACAAGCAGUAAAUAUUUUUGUGCACCAGAACAUGGCUACUGCACAGUACACACCAUCCUUAAACUUACUCGCUCCCGAGUGAUGGUCUGGUUGCUGCUCCUGGAUGGUGUUGAAGGAAAAGUCUUGAGAUAUUACCUGCUGGGGGUCUAGGGGGGACUGUUGCGUGGGCGUCUGUACGAGGGACAGACCCCCCACCUGGUUGGAUACCUGCGAGGGGGCGGGUAUAAGCGUUAGCCCCUGCGGCUGGUUGUGAGGAGCUUGUACUUGAAGAGUUAAUCCUCCAGACGAUUGAACUGGUGAUUGUAUGAGGGUGAUGCCUUGAGAGGGGGUGGGGUACGACCCUGAACCAAACUCCAUUACACCUGGCCGUGCAUGCGUGUGUGGGGGAGAGAGGUAAGGGCAAUGGAACAAAUAAGGAAGUAAAAUUGAAAUAUUGAUUAUAGAGUGAUGAAGGGAAAGACAAUACAGAGUUGGACUCCAUAACAAUAACUAUAAAACAAAGAGUACCAAUGCAUAUGGUGGUGGUGACAUUACUAGUAGCCUUCUGACACAAUUGAUAUUUAGUUUAUUAGGGUGCAUGACCACAAGUGUAUGAUAAGGUGCACCAUGUUCCAGACAACUGAGCGCUAAAUACAGUCUCAAAGAAUUGAUAAGAACAGAUGCUCAAACCUCUCUUAUUGGGGUGUGUAAGGCGCCAGGUAGAGAUAAAACCUACUCUAGGCCACAUCUAUGGGCCACAGGCAGAGGUGUUGAUUGCCCAGGCUGCCACCUAUGGCCGCUAAAGCCAAGGUGUAAAUUGGCGAGACAGUCACAGCUAUAGAAGCAUUAAUAAGGACGCUAGCUACAGGCUGAAAAAUGCAUUUAACACAUCUAACGUUCACUAGAUCAUUUUACAAGUGUCUUCAGGUCCCAAUCAACCACUAUACAGACAUUAUACAACAGCUACUGACACACAACAUACCCUAUACUGAUUCUCAGGACCUACAAACAGCUCUUGUCUCUGCACUGCACUAGCUCUUCCAAAUUCUUUUCACUCAACUGAGCCCCUAAACAAAUUGGUGAAUUUUAAUUUUCUCCGCUUGUUUGAAACUAGAUCUAGAAUGCCUGAUGAAUUCACGCCUCCCAAUUAAUAUGCUAUAAGAGCAGCGAGGGUUGGGUCUCAAUGUAGAUUCACUGAACACGAAAAACUGGGGGUUACAAGCUGAUCAAUUUUAAUGAUAGGGGCAGGGGGCGGAAAAUAGUUUCCGGGAUUUCUUUUCAUGUCUCAGAAGUUACAAAUUUCUCAUGUUAUACACAAUAGCCCUAGCUACAAGCAAAAUACAUGAUAUCUCUUUGCAGAAACUUUGCAAUGUAUUAUUGCCACGAGUUCAAAUGCAUUGCCUACAGUUAAGUGGUUGUAUAUAUAGAUCUAUAUAUCUACACAGAUUUAUACUGUUAUAUACAAGCCAGUUAUAUCUCUUGUUGGAGCUAGCUAUAAUAAAAUUCCAGGCAGCCAGGCCCGCCUACUAUCAGUAGUGGUACAAAGUAUGUAAUAAUCUCAGCUUGAAAAACCACCCUUAUUAGCUAGUAAAAUUCCUGUCAAAUUCUAUCCUAAUGCAACCAAACGUGCAGUCUACAUACCUCCUCGAAUGGUCUCCUGCAGAAUUAGACUUCACAAACUAGUAUGUUCUAAGAGCUCUCUGAUCUUCAGUGGUAUUGAUUUAUAAGAGCCGGGGCCUCUGCUAAUUCACUCUCAAUCGACUCAAUCAAUCCUGUUCAGUAAGUUUUACAAGGCGGUCACCACGCCCCCCUCUUAGUCAAGCAGGAAGCAGCAUGGACUAAGCUAAGAGGCAGCUGCCUUGUUGAUAGUACCCUCGGCCUCAAAGAGAUGCUUUGUACAGUAAUGGAGUCCUGCUACACCCUGGAAUUGAAGUGUUUUGCAAGCUACAGCACUUGGAUACGUCGUUACGUCAUGUAGAGAUGAUAUCACCAAAUGUUUAUAUCUAUUCUGAAUUUCUGCCGGCUCUCUGUAUUUUCCUGCUCAUUGAACUCUGCUGGGUGAACUCAGCACUAAUCAAUAACCUCUUGCCACUACCAAGUGUCAGUUAUUACAAGCACCAGGCUAAUUCAUUGGAGGAGACACUGCAAGUACACGCUACUUGUUUGUGUCCGCCACAGGCGAUGAAGAAUGUUCUAAUUAUGUGCUCGUCAUUUCAACCUCCCUGACAUCUGUUUGUAGCACGCAAGUACCCGUAGGAGAGAGCCUUGCAGUAAAGAACCAUACAGUGCCUACUACAGUCAAGGGCCGUUGCUUAGAGACAAAUAUACAUACGUACGUACAAAGCAAAUCUGACUAAAACUUACUUUACGAACAAUUUAAUUUUCGAGUACUUUAUGUUUGGGAGUGGGUGUGUGAUAAUUUUUGUGUGAUAUUUGUUUGUUACAGGCAAUGCUGACACACGUAAAAUACACAAUAACAUAAUGCUUAAUUGGAUUAAUUGGCAGUCUCUGCUCGUGGACAGUGUGUUAAGCCAAGGGUGUGGUAUGUACAUGUAUACACAAGCUAGUCAAUUCAUUUACCGAGUAGCCAACAUUUGUUCGACUAGAGAGUUCUCGCUAUUAGUGCUUGAGGGGCGUGGCAUUUGGUGUGGCGGUAACGGGUUCCUCUCUGUUUCUUCGUCCAAUUUACAAUACGAUCCCACUCGACUUUCGGCCGCAAAGUGGCCAGGUGUGAGUUCGUUGUUGACGUGCACCUGUACUUGUACGUGAGGUAGGUAGAGUUGCUGGUUGGGUUUGAAAGUAGAGCAGUUUAAAGUCGGUGUAUGUGUCGACAUUGGUCUCAAGCUGCCCUUGCUAAACCAUAGACCAAGCUUACUACUGCGUCGAUCUAAACUGUCUGUAUAAUUCUUCGCCGAUUUGUGCCUUAUAACGACGUCAGUUCUAUUCACAAUACUCAUUUGGUGACCACUGAUGCUUGAAUGCGACGAGCCACUGCUAUUGGUCCGUUCGAGGUUACAUAAUGACACUCUCUCGCUGUCCCGUCUUCUCCUCCUUACUUUCUUUCUUCGCUGCCUCCCUCUUAGACAGAGCAUGUACAACAGUAGUGUGAUGAUCACUAGGCAGAGGGUAGCCCCCACACUAGCUAUGAUUAUGAUAUAGAAUAAUGGUAGCAGUAGUUCCUUUUCUUGAGCUGCUGUAGUUGUGACGUCCGUUGUAAAAAUGGCUACUGUAGGGGGCAUUGUUGAUACGUUAGCAAACGACGAUACUAGGGUUAUACUUGUUACUGAUAGUGUUGUUGAUACAGUUAAUGGCGUUGUUGUAGUGUUCAUAGGUUCUUGUGAGAUUAACUUUGUUUGAUAAGUAGACAAUCCUUGAGGCGUACUUGUAUCACUCGUGUACACUGAUGUUGGUCUUAUUACCAUAGUGGAGUUCAUGGUAGCCUUGCCCAAAGGUGCUUGAGAUGUAGCUUUAGUUACUGAUAAAUCUACCGAACUCCGUGUAAUUGUUCCUGUGGUAGACACUGUAUUAUAAGAAGAAGUCUCACUUGGGUUCCUCGUGAAGCCUUGUGUGUUUUCAGCUGUACUAGCCUUUGAUGUUGGAGUCAUAGUAGUCACAGGGCUAACAUCUGUGCAUGUACUAUAUGUAGUAACAGUAGCUGUAUUGUAUGUCUGUGUGUAAAAUAAGCAUUAAACACUCAUGCAGGUAUUAUUUUAUUGAACUGGCUAUGUUUUGUGUAACUCACUGUGUUCUGUCCUUGAGCAUAUUGGAUACUUAGUAGCACAGCCACAAACAAGUGUGUUCUUGGCAUUACGACAGCUAUUGACUAACGACUUGGAUUGUUCACUAUUAUACAUGUAGUUGUUCUAUUGAUGUCGCUAGCUGCAUAGUAGUGAAAGUAACUCUCCGUAGAUAGAUCAACUAACUAGACAUGUGUUUGUGUGACAAAGUAAACAAUAACGACACGAGCACACAUAAACUGAUGGUUGACAAUAUCUGUGAAUUGCAGCAACAGGUUUACACAUUAGAGAGAUAGUGCAGUACGUCUUUUGUCUUUGUGUGUCGUAGUGUAAAGCUAAACCAUUCUCUAAAUGUUUGGAGAAUGGUAUGGCACAAACAAUUGUUUCUGAAGUGAAAGUGAAAGUUUACGUCUAUUUUGUAUACAUUAGUAAUACAUUCGUAGAUUGUUGUACAAUUGGGACUAGAGUCGGCUCUGUAACAAGAGUUCUGGUGAUCAAAAUUCAACGCUUUUAUGAUUUUCUGAAAGCUUAUAAGGAGCUUAUCAGAUGGUAUGCUCAAUUCUCAAAUUUGGAACGGGCCACAAUUUCCCAUUUUCGGAAAUGACCAUAUAACCCAUGGUAUUUUAUUAUAUAACCCAUGGUAUUUUAUUAUAUAACCCAUGGUAUUUUAUUAUAUAACCCAUGGUAUUUUAUUAUAUAACCCAUGGUAUUUUAUUAUAUAACCCAUGGUAUUUUAUUAGACUUGAAAUACAUCUUAACGAGCUCAUUCUAAGUUUUCAUGAAUUAUCGUUUGUACCAACGGAACAAAGUUAUGGCCGUUCAAAGAUGCUUUAUUGAACGCUGGGUAUAUUUGGGCAUAAUUUAUUGCAUAAUAAUGGGGGCCGGUACACUACCUGAGUGCAUAUACUUUAGCUAUGUAUAAUUUAUGUUGAAACAGCUACUAAUGGACACAGUGUGUGUUCAAGGCGUGUACACAUGUGGGUUGAAUAAACAUACAGGUUUAAGAAAGCACACACGCACUUAUUAACGAAAAGUACCUGCACUCACUCACAAUCACUGAGUAAGAGUUCGUUAAGAAAUGGAUAUUAUUGUAGUCAGUGCUGUCGCAGUUGGGGUAGUGCUAACUCUAAUUCUACUAGUUACUAUUGCUAUUGCUGUUGUCCUGGCAAUGUACAACCAUCGGCAGAAGAAUUCCUUCGAUAUAGUCCAAAGAGAAGAUUUUCCACUCAGCUAUGGUGUUAUGAGAGAUGGUACAAAUGAGUAUGAUGAUGCAACUUCGAUAAUGAAUAAGAUGCAUGAAGAGAAAGACCGGGAAUCCAAUGUGGAAGUGGAAAAUGAAUUCUGUAUCAAGAACAUGUCAACUGGACAGAGCCAUACGAGCGGUUACGAAGAUGCAAGUACUGAGCUAACUUCCACAUUCCAAGUGAAUGUCUCCCUGGAAACUGAAGAGCCUCCAGUCAUUGAUAAAACAACAGCCAGCCCUGUGAAAUCGCUCAAAUCGAAACCCCUCGCCCCUCCAAAACCUUGCAAACCACCCCCCACAACUGAUGAGAGUCACGUUUAUGUUAAUAGUGCUUCAGUCAUUGAUAAAACAACAGCCAGCCCUGAGAAAUCGCUCAAAUGGAAACCCCCUGCCCCUCCAAAACCAUGCAAACCACCCCCCACAACUGAUGACAGUCACAUUUAUGUUAAUAGCGCUCCAGUUAUUGAUAAAACAACAGCCAGCCCUGAGAAAUCGCUCAAAUCGAAACCCCCUGCCCCUCCAAAACCAUGCAAACCAUCCCCCACGACUGAUGAGAGUCACAUUUAUGUUAAUAGCGAAGCAAUGCACACAGUCGUGCAAAACAGUCCCAAACGACCUCCCAAACCCCCCAAACCACCCAAACCAUCCAAACCCAGUGCAGCUGUCUUACACUGAAAGUAAAACUGCAGAAACGAACAUUAAAUUACUGAUGACUCUAAAUGUGUUACUAUAUAGUUUUACGUGUUACUGUACUAUCUCUGUUUAUGUGAUGGUUUCAACUUUUAUUUUCAUAACGUGCCUGUUCACCUAAUACUUAAUACACCUGAAACUGCCUGUAUGUGUGUAGUGCACUGUAUGUAUUCCACCUACACAUGCAGACUAAUGGCUACCUUUGAAGAAAGCUUCCAACUAUAUAAGGUCAUACUAACAAACCCAGAAAGGAAGUACUACAUAUGUGUGGGUUAGACUUUGACAGUACUAGUGCAAUAACAAGUGAGGUACAGCUAACAAGGUACAGAUCUAGUCUCUAUGGAGAAACAUUCGAGCAUCAUCCAGGCCGAAGCCGUUGCCGUGAUAGUAGGUCUCAUCCUUCUCGCACUGGUCAUCACAAUCGUUAUCCUUCUAGUGAUUAUCUACAUAACGAAGCAAAAGAUGAAAGAGAGAUCACAAUUUACAAUCCACGUCUCUCGCAACUUCAAGAACUCGUUUCGAGACAAAGAGACUCCAGUAAGUGAUUACGACAGACAAUCUCUCAACAAUCGACCAUUCGAUGUGCCAGAUCCUCUGACUGAGAGUUUGGACAAUCCACUAUACCAGCACACCACCUCAUUCACAGGUGCUACUAACGAAGUAGCUAUAGCUAGUGCUACUAAUGAAGUAGCUACAGCUGGUAUUACUAAUCCACGCAACGAGCAAGGCAACUCUGCUGGUAGUGACGUCUCCAUUCCAAGUUUGAAAGAAGUAACUGAUUCCGGAUCCGUAUCGAAACAAGACCUGACAGGAAAUGAUUACCAGGUACCACUACCAUCAUCUCCUGCCAAACCUGUUGCCCUCCCACGAGGAUCAGCCCAACUCGUAUCCCCUCGAAGACCCCCUCCCAUGCUGCCAGUAAUAAUUAAACCAAAGCCGUACAAUGGUUCGUCUGUAAAUAAACCACCAGUUCCUGGGAAACCCACAAUAGCAACGAAGCCGUCCAAACAGCCAGUUCUACCCCCCAUUGGGAGACCCCCUGUGGAGAAUAAGCCCAAUGUCAAACCAAAGCCUAAAGCCUUGCCUCGAAAAAUCUAACUAUCAAACUUGCGAACAUGUUACAAUAACAUUCUGUAUAGUAUCUAGUAGCUAAGUUUUUAGAAGUUAUGAGAAUUGAGCAAACAGAGAUUUGAUAUUAAUUUUGUGAGUUUGUCAAACAUUGUGUAAAGUUGUCAAAUUAGUGAGGCAGAUAAUUAUGUAAAAUGUAAAUUAUAGCUAUCUACCUCAGUACAUGCAUUGCUGACGUAAAUCAUUCAAUUUGUCAA